rnacentral:lncRNA from 1 species
AGAGAUCUCGGUAAAAUUAUUGAACAUUCUCGGUAAUUUUACUGGACCUUGGUAAAAACGCCAAUAUUUUUUAUCGACUGUGGUAGAAUUACCGAGAUAAAAUGGCAAAGUUACCGGGAAUUGAUUACCAAUAAAAGUGGUAUUCUUACCUGAAAAAAACAGUAAAAAUACCGGUUUUUAGGUAAGCUUACCAGUCUGUCUUGGUAAAAUUACCAAUAAUUGGUAAAAAAAGUGAGAUGGUAAAGUUACCAACGGACCUUGGUAAAAACGCCGAGAAUUUUUUUUCAGUGCGGUGAAGAGGUCUACCUAGACUAUGAAUUCAGUAGUUCUGUGGCAACGUUGAAGAUCCAUAGGUAUUUGCUUAACGGGUUGCAGUGAAAUUCGAGGGCAGCGUAGCUUGGUUAGUAGGAGUAACGGCGCGGUCGAGGAGGAUGGUCACUUGGAUCCGAGCAAGUCUCCUGAUUUAUCUUUGUCAGUUUUUGGCACCUAUAAGUUCGGGCAGUGACGAGGCUAAAUCACACGAAGGAAAGACGAGAGAAAAAAGGGGCGCUGUGUAUCCUGUUGGAACCGUCUUGCAGUUUUCGAUCGCUUUGGCCUACCCAAUCGAGAUCCCGAAACGGAAAGCGGCCACAAAUUUGGGCGUCUUGAUCAACAUCGACCUACCAUUUAACAUCACACAGCUUUACCCGUACACGCCGGAAGUAGACCAGGCUCGAGCUUUGUCGCAUGACGCAUUAUAUGACGAUUUGGAACGGAUUCUUGGCGAGCAUGGAUUUAAUGGUCAAGAAUGUAUCCUCAAAAGCAUAUGCCAAAUAGCGGGACGGAAAUCCGAAAAGGACGAUCUGGGCCACAGCUUUCUUCAACUUCUUUUCCAGCCAAGGUUUCUAGGAAAUUGCACAGACGCAAAAUGCACACUUAUCAAGGAGGCAAGAGUGGCGGGCAUCCUCCAUGUUGACUGCAACUUCAAGUACAAAAUGUGUCCAACAUCUUUUUUGGAUCUAAUUACAUCAUAA